rnacentral:misc_RNA from 1 species
AGCUUAAAAGGUGGAAUGUGGAAGUCUUUGGAAAUGUUUUUAAGAAAAAGGAGAAACUUCUGAGUUGAAUUUAUAAUAUCGAGAGAAUUCUAGAUUCUAGGCCUUCUGUGAUAGUUGUUGAGCUUUUAAAUAGUCUCAAAAUUGAGUUGGAUGUCAUUAUUUAGAAAGAAGAGUUGAUUUGGUAUCCAAAAAGUAGAAGUAACUGGGUUCAGUUUGG